UUCAUCACGACCACGAUCAAUUUAUGAUCUCUUUUGGUUAUCGAUUUUGAUUAUAUAUGGAUGCAAUCGAUCAAACGAGGAUGUUGAGCAAUGGCAUGGAUGCUCUAAUUCUAAAUCAAGGAAGAUCCUAAAUCCUUAUUUCUUAAUUAGUUAUGUUCUAGAUAGAACAAAAAAAUUUGGGAUUUGGAGUAAUUCGGAUGUUAAAGUUUUGAAAAUAAGAAUCUAAUAAUAAAUUUACUAUUUCUUUUAUUGACGAUUGAUCGAGGAAGAGCUAGAAUCAUAGUGAUUGAUUGGACAUGCUA
rnacentral:lncRNA from 1 species